rnacentral:lncRNA from 1 species
UUACUCGGGACGGGGCUUGGCUAGAGCCAUGCGCAUGCGCGUCCCGCUCCGGCGCCGUCCUUGGAGGCCCGCCGGCCGACGCGGUGCCAGCCCCGAGCCACGAGUGAAACAUGUUGGUGAAAAACAAGGAAACGUAUUCUGCUUUCACAUCUUCUAGUAAAGCCCCUGGAAGCCACCAUUCUACUUUUUGUCUCUUUGAGUUUGACUAUCCUGGAUACCUCAUAUUUUAACUGCAUCAUCACAGAUGGCUCCUGUGUCUCCAGGCAUCAUUUAUAUAUUUCUGGCAGGAGGAAGAGGAAACAGAAAGAACAAAAGGCAAAACCUGGGUGCCAGUGGAGUUGGCUGUAUCUAAUAAACUCUCCCCAAAGCCCUGUCGAAUGACUUUCUCUGCCCUCUCAUUAGCUGUUCUCUGCCACCUGGCCACAUCUUGCGUGAUGUCAAUGAAAAUAAUCCAUAACUAAUCUACAAAUGAAAAUUUGG